UACGUAGGGUGCAAGCGUUAUCCGGAAUUAUUGGGCGUAAAGAGCUCGUAGGCGGUUUGUCGCGUCUGCUGUGAAAACUGGAGGCUCAACCUCCAGCCUGCAGUGGGUACGGGCAGACUAGAGUGCGGUAGGGGAGAUUGGAAUUCCUGGUGUAGCGGUGGAAUGCGCAGAUAUCAGGAGGAACACCUAUUGCGAAGGCAGCUCGCUGAGACGUAACUGACGCUGAGACGCGAAAGCGUGGGGAGCAAACAGG
rnacentral:rRNA from 1 species